rnacentral:tRNA from 1 species
AUUAGGGUAGCUAGCUUGGAGUACGCAAAAGACUUAAAAUCUCACCACGAGGGUUCAAAUCCCUCCCCUAACC